CGAACCCUAGCUAACCCUCGUCUCCACGCCUCCAGCCGCACCCGCCGCCGCAUCCCAAUCCCUGAUCAGGCUCUCCACCUCACGACGACGCCGUUGCCCUCUCCGUCCUCCUCCUCAAGACGUCACCAUCGCCUCCCCUCAUCCGUGAUUUGGCCAUGGCCACCACCGACGCCCUCCUCUCCAUCGCUUCCACCAACCGUCAACCUCCAUCAAUCUCCUCCUAGACCGACAAAGGGAGACCUCCACCAUCGCCGUUCUUCUUCCUCCCCGACAUCCUGUCGCCGUUCUCCACGGAUCUGGCCGUGGCCACAACCGAUGCUGCCGGUUCCAUGAAGGAGCUCACCCUGGCCUUCUCCACGGAUCUGGUUGAUCUGAAGGCGGGCGGCGAGGCGGGGCUCGCCGAGCGAGGUAUCCAGGCGAGGGUCGCGGUGACGAUGAGGAAGGCUGGAGCGAGGGAUCCAGCGACCUAGGCAGGAGCUCGCCGGACCUGUGCGAUGGCGGACGGGCGCGUGAGACGGAGGGAUCUGGUGCGGCGGCGUGAAUUCCUUGUAGGUAGAGGCGGGUCUCCAUGGCUGGCAGGGAGAGCUCCAAGCCAUGGCGGGGCUUUAGUUUUCCCUGGUAGAAAAGAGAGAAAGAGGAAGAUUCAAGGAGGAGGAGAGGUAGGGAGAAGAAGGUGCAGGUGCGAGCUUGGGGAAGAGGGAGCCUAACAUCAAGUGCUUAGGGAACAUGUGCAUACAUCCUUGCUCCUUUUCUUCUUUCAGUUUUAGCAGAGAGGAUGCCGCAAGGGGAGAGGAAUGGUGGAGUGAGAUUGAGGAAGACAGGACACAUCGGGACCCGGGAGCUCGAGAAGAGGCUCAAUCGAUCUCGACAAGAAGUGAUCUCCCCUUGGUGACAGUACUAAAUGGCCUCUCUAGGCUCCUGUCAUAGACUUGGAAGCAGAAAAGAUAGAAGAAUCUCAUCUCCUUCUGGUGGAACGGCAGAGGGCUUGGCUGCUACCAGGGUGAUCCAAAGGGUGUAUCUAGGUAGCAUGUUUGUGGCCUCUUGCACUAACAUGAUUAAUGGUAGCUUCUAUUCCAUGACAUGAUUUUUGCAGCUGUAACAAUAUGUUUCAUGCGAGAGGACAUAAAUUUGCAUCCUAUUUUUCUGUCCAGUUAGUUCCAAAUUACAAAUGUUUGUGCCAUCACUGACAAUUUGGUGGAAAAAGAUGAGUCGUAUAUACACCCAGUGUAAGCUUUCACAUUAGCCAUUGCUCUUGAUUGUCUUUGCAAGUCCAUAGAUAUAAUUUCUUAUGAUUUUCCUUUACUCAUAGUAAGUGCUGAAUAUUUUGUGCUUCAACCCUUUAGGUGUUAACUUCUGUGAUGUGGCUAGCAAAGUUGGCAACAGGUACAGUAUAACCAUCAUGAUCUGCAGAGGGAUAUAUAUCACCUAGGUGCAUAAAUCAUAAUCAUUCAGUUUUUAUUUGGCAAGCUGGAGCUACCUGGAACUUUCAGUUUUGGUUCCAAAAUGGAUGGAUUCAACUGGGUGACCCACUGUCAGGGCGUGGCCGCGGCUGCGGCGCAGGCAGCAAGGACGAGCGCCGCAAGGGAGUCGAUGGGCGUGGGCGUGAGAAGGCCAUCGUCUUCUUCUCCCCCCUCUCCGACCAGAAACCCCUAUCUAUCCAUCCGACGAGAGAAGACUGCAGACAGAGGAGAGGAGACGCGGGUGAGGGGAAACAACAGCAAGAUGGUGGUGCGGGUCUUCGGGUAUGGGUCCCUGAUCUGGAACCCCGGCUUUGAUUUCAACGAGAAGAUCCUGAGAUUCAUCAAGGGCUACAAGCGAACGUUUAAUCUCGGUAUUCAAUGUGAGGAAUUUCAUACUUUUGGUGUGGUGCUAGCAAAUAUAGUGACCAAAUAUAGUGAUGAGAAAGGGUGGAGCUGAGUAUGCCACACAUGGAUAUGAUUAUUUCCCCUAUGUUCUUUUUGGCAAUCCACUUCAUCACUGACUCAUAUGUGUAUGGGUGAGCUAACAAGCCUGUAUUAUGUCUUCCCUCUUUCUUUGUAAGUGAAGGAUUUCGGAUUGCUGCACAUUAUUCAACUGCUAUACUUGUGAAAGAGAAAUGUGCUAAACUAUAGUACUCCCUCCGUCGCAUGAUGAGUUUCAGCAACUCUUAUUUUGGAAUGGAGGGAGUAGUAAAUUACUUUUGGUUUUUUCUUUGUUGAUCUGAUAAUAAUUAAGUUUAAAAAUAUGUUAUCUUCUAUUUCACUAAUAGGGUAGAGCCAAGGUGGCACAAGUGUGUGGCCAUGGUUUUCUUUUAUCGUUUUAUCAAAUCAAUGGAAAUACAUCUGCAUAGUUAUGGAUUGAUACUACAAAUAAUGCUUUAAAUAAUGGCAUCUUCUCAGCAACCCUUCAUGCACCCCCUCGCGAGAACCACCGAAACAUUCCCAGGAAAUUCUUCUCGCUUGCUGCAGCCCAUGGUGCACCAUCCGAUCUCUGUGUGCUGCACAGUUAUAUGUGGUCUUAUAUCAUGCACGUGUGUUGCAAGUGUUUCUCUCUACUUUGUGCUCCAAAUUUGUUUUUCGUACAAUAUGGAAGAUUAAUGUAUAUAUUCUUCUAAAGUUAUAGUACAUUCAUGGUCUGUGUAUAUCUAUUUGUAUGCUGCAAACCUGAGUCAGGCAGGCAGCAACUAAUUUCUUCAUUUGCUAUCUUUAUAAUCAACUUGAUUGGCAGACUUCAGGUAAUUCGUGUUCGUGUGGUAAGAAUUGAACUCAUGUGUUGCUCUUUUACCACUUUCUUGAUGCAAAUAGCAUCAAAGGACCUGUACUGCUAUGAAUUACAUCACGGAUUAUGUGCUACUUUAUUAGUUGAAGUCUCUUUGUACAGUUAGUUCUCAAAAACAGAACCACUUCUGCUGGUGUAUAUGUUUCUUGGCAACAUUUGGUGUAAUACUAAUCUUCCAGAGAUUGUUGUAAGAAAUAACUAUAUUUAGUAUCUUUAUCUCAUCAAUGGGCUAAUUCUAUAAAAAGAACUAAUAAGGAGAUUUCUUAGCAGUACUGUAUAUGUCUGGAGCAAUGAGGUAAUUUUAUCGUAUGUUACUUUCUUUCUCUUGCAUUUCCUAAUUUUGUUUUCCACUCCAUUUUUUCAGGUUCCAAAGUUUGGCCACAACUAGCUUGAUUCGGAGACAUUUCGUAUUAGGAGUUAAACUUUGGUUUGGAGGCAUUGAGCUUUGCCAGUAACUAGCUUUGUUACUUGGUAUACUUAUGUCAGCAUUCAGGAGCCCCGUAGUUGUCUAGCGGGUCGCGGGAGAGGCAGCCGGUGAGUGCGAGCUGGACGGGAAGGUGAUGCCUGCGAUGGAGAACCAUGCUGGUGGGUAGGGCAGGGUCGACGCUCUAAUUGUACUGCCUGACAGCUUGUCUUAGUCUUAAUAAAAGUGCAUAUCUGCAGCAUCCUUUAAUUUAUUUGGCAUAUCCUACUUUAAACAGUAUCCUUGACUCGCAUCGAUUUCAAAUAACUGAAGUAUCUUCUCUGCUCAUGUGUCCACAUAAAGCCCAAUCAUGUAUAUGUACUGAUGGCAGCAUGCAUUCCAAUUUAGAGAGGUUCCAAUGCUUUCCUUUUUUUCACAUUCGUGCUUAUCUUCUUGUAUUGUUUAGCAAUGAGAUCAAUAGUAGCACUUGGCCAGAAUAUGAAUGUUUAGUGCUUCUGAAUUUCAGUGACAAGUGGUACUGAAUUUUAACUAAGUGCUUCUGAUAUGUCAAUGACAAGUGGUACUGAAUUCUAACUAAGUGCUUCUGAACUUCUUGUGAUGAAUGGGUUUUCUGAGUGUAAGGCCCCGUUUGGUGUCCAUCCACUCCACUGCUCCGCUCCAGAGCGGACAGAGCUGCAGCGAAAAGUCUUGGAGCGGGCGAAACGAUGCUCCGCAGAUCCGCGGAUUUCAACAAGC